rnacentral:rRNA from 1 species
GACAGAGGGUGCAAACGUUGUUCGGAAUUACUGGGCGUAAAGCGCGUGUAGGCGGCUAAGUAAGUCGGGCGUGAAAUCCCACGGCUCAACCGUGGAAGUGCACUCGAAACUGCAUAGCUAGAGUCCUGGAGAGGAAGGUGGAAUGCUUGGUGUAGAGGUGAAAUUCGUAGAUAUCAAGCGGAACACCGGUGGCGAAGGCGGCCUUCUGGACAGUGACUGACGCUGAGACGCGAAAGCGUGGGGAGCAACAGGG